rnacentral:tRNA from 1 species
GCGUGGCUCAGAGGUACAGCGCUUGCCUAGCAUGCGGGAGGCACUGGGUUCAAUACUCAGCACCA